UGCAAUCACGUAAGGGAUCCUGAGUGAGAACCGUCUAGGUUUGUGCAGUCUUUGAAGAUUCUCAUUCAACCCUAUGAUGCCUUCCAAUAGUCAGAGAGAUCCCUCAUCCUGAAACACACUUCUGAUCUCUGUCUCUAUGAGCAAACACAUCAGAAAAUGCACUGUUGAG